UGCUUGGACAGUAUCACUGAGCUGCC
rnacentral:piRNA from 1 species